rnacentral:miRNA from 1 species
UAAAAUAACCGAUUUUAAAAGUAGCAUUUUUAAAAUCGGUUCUGAAAUAACCGAUUUUAAGUAGCACUUUUAAAUCGGUCAUAAAA